rnacentral:rRNA from 1 species
AAGAAACUAACUAGGAUUCCCCCAGUAACUGCGAGUGAAGAGGGAAGAGCUCAUCAUUGGAAUCUGGCAGUGUUUUCACUGUCCGAGUUGUAGAUGAGGAGUAGUCCAUCUGGACUGCAUGGCGUCCAAGUACAAUAGGCCGUCAGUGGGACAUCAUAGAGGGUGACAAUCCCGUCCUUGAUGCCAAUGUGCAAGUCCGUUACGAUGGCUAUCUCAGAGAGUCGAGCAGUUUGGGAUUUGCUGCUUAAACAUGGGAGGUAGAUUCCUUCUAAAGCUAAAUACAGGCGAGAGACCGAUAGAGAACAAGUACCGCAAGGGAAAGAUGAAAUAGCACUCUGUGAAGGGAGUCAAAAGACGUGAAAUUGUUGCGAGAGAAGCGAUUCAAGUCAGCGUAGCUAGGCCCAUCAAGCCUCUUGCUUUGGACUAGCUUUGCCAGCGGUCUUGUCCUAAGAGACUUGACUUUUAUGUCCAGCCUGGUAUGCACAGGUAGCCCCUCUCGGGGGGGCCAGUGACAUGGCUGGUGGAAUGGCUUGCAAUCGACCCGUCUUGAAACACGGACCAAGGAGUCUAACAUGUAUGCGAGUAUAAGGGUGGCAAACCCGUAUGCGCAAUGAAAGUGAUUUUCGGUGAUUGAGAAUGGCCUGAUGACCAGACAAGCAAUAUUAUGUCCCUCGUACGGCCAUUGCCCAAGUUCCGUGGUAGAUCCCACGAACAUGGAGUUGGAGCAUACAUGCUAGGACCCGAAAGAUGGUGAACUAUGCCUGGACAAAGUGAAGCCAAAGGAAACUCUGGUGGAGGCUUGUAGCGAUUCUGACGUGCAAAUCGAUCGUCUGAUCUGGGUAUAGGGGCGAAAGACUAAUCGAACC